GCUUGAUAAAACAACUUUUUCAAACCACGUGGUCAUCAUCAGCCGGUGACGUUUUGUGUUGGCCUUGAUGAUUGUUUUGUCACGUAAGGUCAAGAGUGAACCUUCGCUUUGGCCGAUUAACUAUUGAUUAUCUAAAGACUGGGUGUGAAAUUAAUGGUUCCCAUUUAUAAGUUUAGGUGUAAAGUAUAUUUAGGUUAUGUGACCUGUGUUUCGAUGUGUGUUGGGGUUAGUUAAAGGAAAAGUUUGGUUUGUUGUAAACUUGCGAGGACGUGUCAUCUGACCUCUGUUGACCAAAGGGAGAUAAAUCAAACGCACCCCCUGUGAAUCAGACACAGGUGUGUUAAUCGCUCUCCUCCUCGUGCUCGGUUUGACCCUGACACGUGGAGUCGUGUGUUUUGACCUCAUGGGAGACACUAUUUACAUUCUGAUAAUAUAGAUCUCAACAGUUCCGUUAAAGCGGCUUCUUCACACAGUUCGAUGAGAUCUGAACCUGCAGCUGAAGGCAUUGUUACUGAAAUUGUGCAAAUAAUUGGCUCCUGCACUAAACAGUCUCCUGCAGGUCUCCAUCUGGACGUCCAGCCCUCUUUUCAUCGAACACAUCUCCAUAUAUUCGUGCAGGUGACGGUUCAUGUCACUCUUAGCUGUAGCCAGUUCCAACUGACAAGCACAAAAAAAUAAAUAAAAUAUAUAUAAAACCCA